rnacentral:lncRNA from 1 species
GUUUGUAGACUGGCACCGGCGGUGGAAGCUCCACCUUCGGCGGCUUAGGCGGACAUGGCUUCUUCGGUGGCUUGUGUACCGGAACUGGAGGUGGGUGCUCUAUCUUUGGCGGUGGCUUGUAAACCGGAACCGAAGGUGGGUGCUCUAUCUUUGGCGGUGGCUUGUAAACCGGAACCGAAGGUGGGUGCUCUAUCUUUGGCGGUGGCUUGUAAACCGGAACUGGAGGUGGGUGCUCUAUCUUUGGCGGUGGCUUGUAAACCGGAACCGGAGGUGGGUGCUCUAUCUUCGGCGGUUUAGGUGGACAAGGCUUCUUAGGAAUAGGCGGUGGAAGCUCCACCUUUGGUGAUGGCUCGUAAAUCGGGACAGGUGGGGGAACCUCUUUCUUUGGCGGUGGAUCGUAAACCGGAACCGGAG